rnacentral:SRP_RNA from 1 species
UGGCAGGUCUAGGUGGGGGGGUAGGGCUCCCCUGUAGUAGCAAACGCUCUAUACGGCUAACCAAAGACCCGUGUUGAGAUAUCGACAUCAAAACAAGCGCCCAUCGGAAUCCGUAGAAGCGACGUCCCGGAAGGCGUCUAAUCGCCGAGACCCUCGCCGGAGGGCAGGGUUAGAAAGCGUAGAGAUCAAACCGGUUAGGCGCGGAAGCGAGCGUCCGUUCGUCUCGUUAGGCGCGCCUCUGGGGUUGCGGCGUGGAGGUGACCCUUGGUAGCGGGGUUUUGAUCGAGAUAUCGAUCGCGGGGACCUGUCA